GUGUUCGUGAGCGAUUUACCGCCAGUUACCACAAAUAUAGCGACCCCUUGAUGGUGAUGAAAAUAAUGUUCUUGAGCAACACUGCUUAAGUUGCUACGAACUAGUAACCAAGGAACCCCAUAAUAAAUAAACAAACCCCUUGAAAUAGUUUUGAAACAGUUCACUUGAAAUUUUUUGCCAUCAGUGCCAAAAUUAAAAACUAUAAAUAGUUCUGGAGAAAUCAAGAUCGAGGAAGCGCGAGGCCGGGAACUGGUACCCCUGAAAAAUGAUAUUAUCAAUACGACGAAAAUUACAGAAUUAUCCUGCACCAGAGCCAGAUUCAAUAGUUGAACAUGUACCAGAAAGAACUAGACAUUUGUAAGUUAAUGUUACAACGUUCCUUUUGUAUUUGCGCCAAUCGGAACUGGGUGCACAAUAUGCGAAUCUGACAUUAGAUGUAUUGCUGCGACAGACAGGCGUCAUGCUGUAUCAUCUUCAAGGGCUAUCAAGGAGCUCAAUCUGUCAUAAUUCUGAUCAGAAACUGGAUUCCCGUGCUUCUCAAAUGUCUCAGGUUCAUCAAAUUUUACACCCGUUUUGCGAAGUAAAGGAGUACCUGGAAUGUCCAAAAUAUGACGAC